GGUUAUGGGGGAGCCCGCAUGGAUUAGCCCUCUCCAGGUGACCUGUGGUAUGGGUUGACCUCAGGGUAGGAGGAGCCUUUGUCUGCAAGAGGAGCCGCCCCUGGCUGAGCACAGCUGAGCAGAAUCUUCCAUGCUCGGGGCUCUCCUGCAAACCUCUUCCAGCGUACCACCCUGUAACUGCCCAGUUUCUCCCCCUGCCCCUCAUAGACCAUAAGAUCUACUUGGACAGCAAGACUGUACCCCCUUGGGCCUAUAUCCACAACAACCUGGCACAAGGUUGGCACACAUAGGCACUGGGAGGACCUUGGCCGUGACCACUGGAGCAGUGCAGCUGAGGGUCAGGGACGUCAGUGGCCAGGUAUAGAGAACCUGGCAAGAGGAGGCUUUCCAUGGUUGAGAUGUUGUAGCUGUCCGCUCACCCUCUAGCCCCCACCCAAUAUGCUCACUUCCUUCUGCCAGCUGAGAAUAUGAAUAGAUUUAGAUUAAUUUGUGGGCACUGGAUCUGUGAAUAGGUGAUGAAAAGGAGCCGGGGGGUUUUAACACCCCGUAUCUCGGAGUCGUCAUCAUUGAGGGAAAAGGCCCUUCAGCCUGUUGGUCCCAUGACUCUGGAAAGCCAACACACAUCUCUGGGCUUGCUUUUUUGAGCAUAAAAUAAGCAAGGUGGCCUGUGGUGGUCCCCAGACUCUGGGCCUGUGGGUGCUUGUAAACAAGCAGAUUUUAAGACCUCACCCUAGUCUGAAAGAACUGGAACUUCUGGAGUCGGGGCCUAGGAACGUGCAUCUUUAAGACACACCCCAGUUCAGUUUUGCAGCAAGGUUUGAGAAGUGCUGCACAAGGUGGUCUCUGUAACCCUCUAGGCUGGAAGCAGCUGGAAUUGGUCCUCUCUGAAGCCCCAGGACAGGGCUGGGGUGGGAAGGAGCCCACAAGAAAAUGGUGAGUUGAAGGUCAGUCCCAGCCUCCUGAACCAGGAACCCGAGUUUCUACCUUGCCCACCAAAACACAUGCAUUCAUCCUGGCCCCAGGCAGCCCAUGCUCCUGCUUGUUAGACUGCUCACACAGAGGAACCGGGGAGCUCCAGCUGGGGGCCUUGCCAUGUUUCAGCCUUAGUCCCCACAACACCCAGCGAGCUAGUUUCCAAGGGGACAGGGGCGAGGAGCAUGUCCGAAGUGCUCCUCUUUCCUGCUGGCAGUCACCAGGCAAGGGAGAGAGACUACAGGGCCUUCUCUUCUCGCCCUCAAGAAAGAAUUCCCAGAACCUCAAGAGCAUGUCCCCUGGGGAGAGGGGGUCAAAAGAGAACUCUGCCUGAGCAGCACAAACAACCCCCUCACCUACUUGUCUCCCCAUCACCUAUGGUUUACAGAGAUGAAACAUGCUGUGCCAGGAGUCCACGAGCAGAGCCAUUUAUCCUUCCGGAGCCAUCUGAGCACUAGCGAGCUCUGCAGGUCCUGUUGUGGUUUGUACCUCCAGGUGACUAGAAUGGGUGGCUCUGGAGACGGGGAAGCCGUCCAGCUGUGCUGUGCUGGCUGGGUGUCCACGCACUGAGCUCCACCCCUGCUCCUCCCAUGUGUAGCUGCCUAUUUGGAGCAGUGUGAAGUCAGCCCUGGCCCUGCUCCCCUCCUGCCGAGGACCAUGAUGACAGCUAAUGUCCCGCCUUCUGUCCAUCUUUAACUGCUCCUCCAGUUACCCUGAAAAUAAAUCUCACUGCUCCCUCUGCUCCUGGUUGCCAAAAGGAUAAAGUCCAAAUUCCUCAACUGGGGAAAAAAAGACUCUCUUUUCCAUCCCCAGGAGUACUUCUUCAGCCCCAUUUCCCACCUUCUUCUGUCACAGUCACCCAACAGUAGCCUCUUCCAAGGACAUGCUAUGGCCUGCCUCUGUCACGAAGAUCCCUUGGCCUUCAAGGCAAGUGGAAUAACAACAGUAAUAAUAAUCAUUGUUAACAUCAAUUGAAUGUUUCCAAACUCUUCUAAGAGCUUUACUUAUAUUACCCAACUCCAUUCUCAAAGUAACUUAGUAGAUGGGGCAGGUAACCUUAUCGUGCCCUUUUACAUAUGAGAAAACUGAGGUUUAUUCCUUCAGGUUGGUCAGUCCUCCAAGGCUAGUGAUUUCAGCACUGGGGUUCAAGCCCAGGUAGCCUGGCAGGGCCCAUGACAGCCAUGCUCCUGCGGGCCAGGACAGGGCUGAGGAGGCCCGUGGCGGAGCACUCCACCCAGAGCCCCGAGCACUGAAGCUCAA